GCAUCUGAAUAGAGAGUAAAAUGUUUAUAUAAUAAUGUGAAUUUAGGGGCAUAAAGGAUGAGCAAGAGCACUGAAAUUGAUAGGGUCUCGACAAAGGACUAACGGAGAGGGCCUAUUCCCUGAGACUUCGAGUUUACCAUUAUAAAGGAAUGCACCUUUUCACGAUCAUAUUUGACGUGAAACACUGAGUUUUAACUUAAAGCCAAACAAAGCGGUACAAUGCAGCUCUGUCUUUGCGGCAUCGAGCACCAUAUGACAGACAGUACCACAGGGAGGAGAGAACUAUUGGAAAAAUAUAACAAUUUAACAGAAAUCAGAACAAAAGGAAUUGUCAGCCCAUUAAAUUUGUGACUGAGGGAUUGAAAAGUCAAGCUUUUAUUAUACAUUUAUCAGGAAGAAACCUUUUGUUAAAAGCAAUAGAAUAACAUUCUAAUUACCUGAAACCAAAAUGAUUGCAGCAACAGUUAUGCCAGCUGCCAAGAUGACAUAUCCUUUGAAGAAGCCAUAUUGUGUUUGAAUAUAGACUAUAGCUGUAUAGGCAAUAAAUGAUCCCACAUUUAUGAACCAGUAGAACCAAUUGAAAAAUGUAGUGAUGGCACCUGGGCCUAAGCUCUGCACUUGCUCUGCACCAAAGGGAGAGACAUUUGCUUUAAUACCACCAGUUCCAAUUGAAAUGAACAGCAGAGAUAUAGCAAAAAAGACCCACUUUGCUGUUUGAUUAAAUGCAUACUUUCCACCAGAUGAUCCUUCAUAAU